GCACUUCUGAGGAGUCCCAUAAUAGGACGAAACAGCCUUUCAGUGC
rnacentral:hammerhead_ribozyme from 1 species